rnacentral:rRNA from 1 species
AAUAGAUACCCGGGUAGUCCACGCCGUAAACGAUGUCGACUUGGAGGUUGUUCCCUUGAGGAGUGGCCUCCGGAGCUAACGCGUUAAGUCGACCGCCUGGGGAGUACGGCCGCAAGGUUAAAACUCAAAUGAAUUGACGGGGGCCCGCACAAGCGGUGGAGCAUGUGGUUUAAUUCGAUGCAACGCGAAGAACCUUACCUACUCUUGACAUCCAGAGAACUUAGCAGAGAUGCUUUGGUGCCUUCGGGAACUCUGAGACAGGUGCUGCAUGGCUGUCGUCAGCUCGUGUUGUGAAAUGUUGGGUUAAGUCCCGCAACGAGCGCAACCCUUAUCCUUUGUUGCCAGCGGUUCGGCCGGGAACUCAAAGGAGACUGCCAGUGAUAAACUGGAGGAAGGUGGGGAUGACGUCAAGUCAUCAUGGCCCUUACGAGUAGGGCUACACACGUGCUACAAUGGCAUAUACAAAGAGAAGCGACCUCGCGAGAGCAAGCGGACCUCAUAAAGUAUGUCGUAGUCCGGAUUGGAGU